rnacentral:sRNA from 1 species
AAAUUCACCAGAAAGUUUUAGCUAACCUUGAAAAACACAAAACGUGGAAGAGAUAAUUAAGAGAGAUAUUGGUACUAACAAUUCAUCUUAACUAGAUACAGUAGUCGAGAGGCCAACAACAAGUCUUGGGACUCGAUUUGAGUCAAGAAAGAAGCAUGUAUCUAUCUUAAAGGCACUUUAACGUUUCUACUUCCACUUGAUUUUCUUGUUUAUAAACAUCGCCACUUCCACUUCCUCUAACACCCCAAAGUCACAGCAACUUGGUGCAAAAAUAAAAUGGCGAACCCCAACGAGCAAGAAAAGGCAAUGAGAACGAAGGUUAAAUGGAAAAGAUUCACUGAGAUGGAAGUAGAUAUGAUUAUGCCAGAUCCAUCUCCAAACGGUAACAUCUAUCACUCCGCCUUUGAGAUGAAUGCCGCAAGAAAUGGUUUAACUGUCCCACCAAAAGCAAGAGCUAUCUUCGGUUACUUAGUGAUCAUGCUUUACAAGAAUGUCAACGAAUCAAACUUUAGAGAAUUUUCUAACAAGCGUUUCAAAGCACUUCGUGCUGUCGCUCAUGAUAUUUCAGAUGGACAUAUCUCAG